AAUUAUUUAAAAGUCGAACAGACUUCCUUGGUUAGUUUUUGCUCUAAAUAGGUUAUUAAUUCAACAUCGAGGUCGUAAACUAUUAUUGUUAUAAGAACUUAAGAAAAUUAUUACGCUGUUAUCCCUAUGGUAACUUGAUUAUUUCAAUAAUAUUGGAUUAUUUAUGUAAUUUUAUUAAUUAAAAUAAUAAUUAAUUAACUGCCCCAGUUUAACUUAAGUUAAGUUCAAUAGGGUCUUGUCGUCUUUCUUUUUAAUAAAUGUCUUUUUACAUUUAAGAUAAUUUAAAAGAAAUUAAGUAAGAUAUAAAUUGAAACGUUUAAUCUUUUGUUCUGGUCUUCAUUUAAAAGACAAAUGAUUAUGCUACCUUAGCACAGAUAAGGCGGCUAUUUAAUUUUCAUUGAGCAGAUUGUACUAUUAAUUAUAGUAAUAGAA
rnacentral:rRNA from 1 species